AUUGAACGCUGGCGGCAUGCCUUACACAUGCAAGUCGAACGGCAGCACGGGAGCAAUCCUGGUGGCGAGUGGCGAAUGGGUGAGUAAUAUACCGGAACGUGCCCAGUCGUGGGGGAUAACGUAGCGAAAGCUAAGCUAAUAACGCAUACGAUCUAUGGAUGAAAGCGGGGGAUCGAAAGACCCCGCGCGCUAGGAGCGGCCGAUAUCAGAUUAGGUAAUUGGUGGGGUACAAGCUCACCAAGCCGACGAUCUGUCGAUGGUCUGAGAGGACGACCAGCCACCCUGGGACUGAGACACGGCCCAGACUCAUACGGGAGGCAGAAGUGGGGUAUUUUAGACAAUGGGCUCAAGCCUGAUCCAGCAAUGCCGCGUGCAGGAUGAAGGCCUUCGGGUUGUAAACUGCUUUUGUACGGAGCGAAAAGGCUUCCACUAAUACUGGGGGCUCAUGACGGUACCGUAAGAAUAAGCACCGGCUAACUACGUGCCAGCAGCCGCGGUAAUAC
rnacentral:rRNA from 1 species